rnacentral:sRNA from 1 species
CUCAUUUUGAAACUUGAACAUCUAAGUUGUGUUUUAAUUAUUUCGGAGAAAUUUUGUGCACAUUUUUCUUUUAUUAAUUUGAAUAUUGAACGGACUGUUUUGAUUGAAUUAUUAAAAAAACGCGAUUCAUAUUUGCUGUCCAGAUAAUAAAAUUCAAAAGAAGGCCAAAAUUUCGCUAUCCCUCAUAAAUUAUUUUCUCGCUAAUUUUCUUUACCCGUUUCAAUUUUGUGGAAUCCAUUGAUUUAGUAAAUUUUAGUGGUCGAAAACCGCUACCCGGAGUUUUUACUCCGGGAUUAUUGCUUUUUAUAUAUUGCCGAAAAGGAAUCUUUAAUUUCACGCCAGACUAAACAUUUAUGGAACACAUCUUUAAUUAAUUAAAAUAUUAGCCAGAAUCUCGUUCUUAUAUAUAUCUGGAUGGGUUCCAAGACAUAAAAUCUAUCAUGGAUGUUUAUCGCUAAUAUGACCUAAACACAUUUUGGACAAAAAUCGUAUAAGUUCCCGUUUAAAACCAUUGAGACGUUGUUUGCUGCCGUAAAUCUGGCUUAGAUUAAGCUUUAGUUAAAUAUAGUCAUCAUUUUAAAAAAAUCCACUCUCAACAAUUUUCCCCAUAUCUACAUCAUUUGAGCUAUACAAAACUGAAAUAUCACCUUUAAUAGCAAUUACUAAGAAUUCGUAUUUGGGACAAUCCCGUCUUCGCAGGCCUGUGGACAGCGCUGGAUAUAAAUGUGCAAAGUACCCUCCAAACGGUUCGUAUUUACCAGCCAU